UCGGAGUGCUUGCACUCUGUGAAACAAGAUACAGGCUAGCGGCGGACGGGUGAGUAACACGUGGGUAACCUGCCCAAGAGAUCGGGAUAACACCUGGAACCAGAUGCUAAUACCGGAUAACAACAGAUGAUGCCUAUCAACUGUUUAAAAGAUGGUUCUGCUAUCACUCUUGGAUGGACCUGCGGUGCAUUAGCUAGUUGGUAGGGUAACGGCCUACCAAGGCGAUGAUGCAUAGCCGAGUUGAGAGACUGAUCGGCCACAUUGGGACUGAGACACGGCCCAAACUCCUACGGGAGGCAGCAGUAGGGAAUCUUCCACAAUGGACGCAAGUCUGAUGGAGCAACGCCGCGUGAGUGAAGAAGGGUUUCGGCUCGUAAAGCUCUGUUGUUGGUGAAGAAGGACAGGGGUAGUAACUGACCUUUGUUUGACGGUAAUCAAUUAGAAAGUCACGGCUAACUACGUGCCAGCAGCCGCGGUAAUACGUAGGUGGCAAGCGUUGUCCGGAUUUAUUGGGCGUAAAGCGAGUGCAGGCGGCUCGAUAAGUCUGAUGUGAAAGCCUUCGGCUCAACCGGAGAAUUGCAUCAGAAACUGUCGAGCUUGAGUACAGAAGAGGAGAGUGGAACUCCAUGUGUAGCGGU
rnacentral:rRNA from 1 species